rnacentral:rRNA from 1 species
AGAGUUUGAUCAUGGCUCAGGACGAACGCUGGCGGCGUGCUUAACACAUGCAAGUGGUGCGACGAACCAGGGCUUGCCCUGGGGCAAAGCNNCGAACGGGUGAGUAACACGUGGGUAACCUGCCCCGAUGACCGGGACAACCCGAGGAAACUCGGGCUAAUACCGGAUGUGGCGCACAGGCAUAAGCCUGUUCGCUAAAGGAAGCUUCGGCCUCCGCAUUGGGAGGGGCCCGCGGCCCAUUAGCUUGUUGGUGGGGUCACGGCCUACCAAGGCGACGAUGGGUAGCUGGUCUGAGAGGACGAUCAGCCACACUGGGACUGAGACACGGCCCAGACUCCUACGGGAGGCAGCAGUGGGGGAAUCUUGCGCAAUGCGCGAAAGCGUGACGCAGCAACGCCGCGUGGGGGAAGACGGCCUUCGGGUUGUAAACCCCUUUCAGGAGGGACGAAGGUUCACCGGUGAAUAGCCGUGUGGAUUGACGGUACCUCCAGAAGAAGCUCCGGCUAACUACGUGCCAGCAGCCGCGGUAAUACGUAGGGAGCAAGCGUUGUCCGGAAUCAUUGGGCGUAAAGCGCGCGUAGGCGGCCCUGUAAGUCCGUUGUAAAAGUCAAAGGCUCAACCUUUGAAAGCCGAUGGAUACUGCAGGGCUAGAGUCCGGAAGAGGCGAGUGGAAUUCCUGGUGUAGCGGUGGAAUGCGCAGAUAUCAGGAGGAACACCAAUAGCGAAGGCAGCUCGCUGGGACGGUACUGACGCUAAGGCGCGAAAGCGUGGGGAGCGAACAGGAUUAGAUACCCUAGUAGUCC